CGGCCCUCGGCAGACCGCUCAGUAACACGUGGUGAACCUGCCCAAGGUGGAGCAUAAUCUCGGGAAACUGAGGAUAAUACUCCAUAGGCCACCUAUGCUG
rnacentral:rRNA from 1 species